rnacentral:tRNA from 1 species
GCGGAGAUGGCACAGUGGUUACUGCAGUCGGUUGCAGCCCGACUUUUCCCGGGUUCGAAUCCCGGUCUCCGCU